GCCGCUGUGUUGACACGCUCUGCACCUUGCUCCUGCCCUCGCCUUUCACUCUUCUUAUCCCCCCGAUACCCCGAUCAUUCCUGACAGCUCCUGAGUGCCUGGAUUUCAUCAUCCAGCCCUGCAGGAUGCUCCCCUUUGUCCUGAGGAAGGCUGUCCCAGAUGGAGAGGAGGAGAUGGAGGUGGAUACAAAGAUUGAUAUGGAUGAGGAGAUGGAAAUUGACGGAGAAGACUCUGGAGAGGAAGAGAUGGACGUGGAUGUGGAUGAGGAAGAGGAGAUGGAAGUGGAUAUGGAAGAGUCCAUUGAGGACAUGGACAUUGAUUGAAAAGGCUGUCCCAGAUGAAGAGGAGGAGAUGGAGGUGGAUACAAAGAUUGAUAGAGAGGAGGACAUAGAGACGGAGGGAGAAGGCCCUGGAGAGGAGGAGAUGGAGGUGGAGGUGGAGGUGGAAGAGGAGAUCGAAUUGGAUAUGGAAGAGUCCAUUGAGGACAUGGACCUUGACUGAAAAGGUGCAAUGGACAUCACAGACAGAGACACCACCCUUUUGUAUAUAUGUUCUACAGUUUGUUGUUGUUCUUUAGAAUAGGUUGUAGGGCUAUUUUUGACUUCUGUAAAUACGUUUCACAUAGUUUUCCUAGGUAGGUUUUUAUGUAUAUAUGUUCUAUUGAUUGUUGAUGUUACAAAUAUCCUUACAAUGUAAAUAUGUUCUGUAUUUUUGCUGCUGUUCUUCUGUAACAAACAAAUUUUAUUUUUCACGCCCCAGUUCUCCUUGCAUUUGCUUCAGGCACAGGCAGCAUUUUGAAAAGUUGUGCAUUCCACUUGCUCCAGGUUCCCAGGGCUGGAGGUCAGAAGUAGAUGAAGGGGAAAAAAUCCACAAUUAAGGGUGUCCAUGACAGCCAGAGCCAAAAGAAGCACAGGGGAUCAGGAAAGAGGGAAGCACGUGCUCCAAACAACAGCAGAAAUAUAGUGAGAGCUCUGGAGAGAACAAAAGAAAGAGGAAGCCUGAAGAAAGGAAAAAACGUCUCCCUACAAGAUUCACCACCCCUCAAAUAAUCAACUCUCAAAUCCAUCAGGGAGAGAGGAGUCCUCCCUUGCCUCAUAGGCUUCCCCUGGAAGCACAAUUGAAACCUCCUGUGCUUCCGUGUCACUCAUGGCCCCACCCAGAGAACAUCGGCCCUCGUGACUUCUCCCCCGCCAUGUCCAGUGCUCUCACCACCGGACACGGGCCAGGACUGCUUUUAGGGCUCCCCGUUUCAAGAUGCUCCACCCACUUCCAGAAACAGCAGUCUCUCAACUUCGGGACUCCAGUCCCCCCACAAAUUUCACCCCCUGGGGCCGAGGGGCCUCAUGAACAGAGAUCUCAAACCCUCCCCACGGAGACAGAGGGCCUCCCACACCCUCCUCAGCCAUCUCUGUUCACGCCGCUGCUUCACUCUUGACUCCCGGGUGUUGCCUCCUCCUAAAUACAGUCUCUGGGUCACAGGGAAAAAACACGGGUCUGUCCAUGGCUAUACAAGAAAGAGUCCAGCCCAAGGCCACUCUAUCAUCUCUUCUACCCAGGAUUCUUCUCUCCUCUUCCAGCUUUCCUCACGCUUGCCCAUUUCAUCUCUCAUCUCUCUCUCACCUCAUUCUGAUUCAGGAGGAUUCAGUAUUUGUAAGGUUUCCAUUAGUCUACAAAGGGGUUAAAAUCUUCACUUCUGCCUGCCCGAGGACUCCCACAUCUGCCAGGCACCUUCUCUCGCCGCAUCCCCCGCUUCUGGCCGGCUGAGCUGCCAGCACAGUCUCUGU